GUGAGUUUUCAUCAUUGUUUAUCUAGACAUAGGAUAGGUUGUGUGAAAAUAUUACUGAUGUUUAACGUUAAAAAUGGACCAAAAGAUUAAUGCUAAACAACAUUUGACAUGUUUGAACGGACGUAAAUAGAUUAUUUACUAGGUUUUUUUAGCUUUUCGGCGUGAUUUUACACUCCCCCCACCACGUUUUGUGGGAGCAUAAUGAACGCUAAGUACUUGGUGUUAUUUGGACAUAAAUUAUGAACUUUGUCAAAAGAAACCACAUUUGUUCCGGACCUGGGAUGCCUUCCGGACCUGGGAUGCCUGCCUUCUGAUGGAGAUAAUCAAAGGCUCUCAGAAGGCGCCAGAACGUUGAAUGAUGACUUUGCAGACCAUGGCUGAAAAACAGUAGCGCAUUUGGCUCUCAGAAGGCGCCAGAACGUUGAAUGAUGACUUUGCAGACCAUGGCUGAAAAACAGUAGCGCAUUUGGCUGAAUGACAGCACCAUGGCAACAACAACAGGACGCCAGUGUGGGUUUCCUGUGUACUGAGAGUGUCUUCUCAGCCAAUCAGUGACUAGCUCUUAUAUGAGUACUGUAAUACCAACAUCAUAAUAUCAGACUUAUCAACAUUAGUAGUGGUCAAUGUAUGUAUAUGUUUACAUGUGUUUAUAUAUAUGUAUGUGGGUAUAUGGUAGUGUGUCCAUACAUUUGCAUAUCAUGUAUAGUCCUAUGUGUGUGGUUAUGGUUUACUCAGCUAGUGCUGCUGCUCUGUGGGGGAGGGGUUAAGGGGGCCUGGGUUUCAGGUCUGAGGAGCAGUGUCAGAGUAGCUGGGUCUGUCAGUAACAGUAUCAGAGUAGCUGGGUCUGUCAGUAACAGUAUCAGAGUAGCUGGGUCUGUCAGUAACAGUAUCAGAGUAGCUGGGUCUGUCAGUAACAGUAUCAGAGUAGUUGGGUCUGUCAGUAACAGUAUCAGAGUAGCUGGGUCUGUCAGUAACAGUAUCAGAGUAGCUGGGUCUGUCAGUAACAGUAUCAGAGUAGCUGGGUCUGUCAGUAACAGUAUCAGAGCAGCUGGGUCUGUCAGUAACAGUAUCAGAGUAGCUGGGGUCUGUCAUUUACAUUUACAUUUUAGUCAUUUAGCAGACGCUCUUAUCCAGAGCGACUUACAGUAGUGAAUGCAUACAUUUCAUCCAUUUCAUUUCAUGCAUUUUUUCUACUACCCCCCGUGGCAAUCAAACCC
rnacentral:lncRNA from 1 species